rnacentral:lncRNA from 1 species
CUGAACUGGUGAACCCCGGGCCACCGAAGCGGAACGUGUGCACUUAACCGCUGCACCCCGGGGCUGGCCCCCUGCCCUUGGCCUUUUUCUGGGGCUCCUCCCUGGGGUGAGGGCCCACAGAUGUGACCUUUGGAGGAGCCCUGACUCACCAGAGCUCUCUAAGCCUCAGUUUCCUUGUCUGACCUCCCCUCCGCUCUGGGAAGCAUCUGGGAAGCUGCCUCCUCUGCUGCUUCCUCCUGCACCCGGUGAAGACCUGAUGGAGGAUGGACAGGACGCGCUUGCAGUCUCGGUCACAGCUGUGUCCCACACACCGAGGAGCCUGCUCUCAGUGCCUCUCUGUCGACACUCUCCUUCCUUACUGCAGGCCUUGCCCACGUUGUCUCAGCCAAUAUGGUCUCAUCUCUGUCCCUCAGGCACUUUCUGACACCAGGCUUGGGUCCUACACACUGCUUCCACCCGGAAUGUUCUGGAAUGUCCUGGAACAUCCUAGAACAUCUUGUUCCCUGCUUUUGUUAAAGCUGGGACACCACCUCCUCAAAGAAGCUCUCCCUAACCUCCUGUCUGAAGCAGGCCAUCCCUGCUUGGUCACUCUCAGCACUGUGCCUUCAUGGCAGUUGUCGCCAUCUGGAAAGGCCUCGGUCAUUGCUUGGUUUAUGUGUCUCAACUUUGUCUUUCCCAUUCGAAUACACAUUCCAGAAUAUUCUGGAACAUGAGGGCCAGGAUCUUGUCUUGUGUGCUUAACAGUCGAAUCUCCAGCACCUGGUGCAUAGCAGGUGUGUAACAAGUGGAAGCUGGCUGAAUGGAGGGGGCAGUGAUGAGACGAGGAGGUGGUGGUGAGCUCCAAGGCAGGACAGCUUUGAUACUCCCCUGCUGGGACCUCAGGCACGCUACUUACCUCCCUGAGGCCCAGGGUCUUUCUUUUUACUUGAGGCAUGCUUUAUAAAUAGUAUUGUGCACCCAUUGUCACUGUACAACUCCAUGAAAGUUUACACUUGUUUAACCCAGGUGCAGAGCCCCUCGAGCCCCUGGGGCUCCUCAUGUCCCCUUCCAGUUGGUCACUCCCCAGAGGUAACCCCAGGUCUGGCCUCUAUCACCUUGGCUCCAUCUGAUCUGUUUUAUUUUUGUUUAUUUUUUAAUAAAUCAGCUUUAAUGAGGCAUAAUUGAUAUCCAGUAAUAUAAUCAUUUUAAGUGCCCAGUUCAAUGAAUUUUUUUUUUCUUCUUCUUUUCCCCAAAGCCCCCCACUGCAUAGUUGCAUAUUCUAGUUGUGGGUCUUUCUAGUUGUGGCAUGUGGGACGCUGCCUCAGCAUGGCCUGAUGACUGGUGCCACGUCCACACCCAGGAUCCGAACCGAUGACACC